UCCUUGAUAGCUCAGUUGGUAAAGAAUCUGCCUGCAAUGCAGAAGACCUGGGUUCGAUUCCUGGGUCAGAAA
rnacentral:tRNA from 1 species